rnacentral:tRNA from 1 species
GUUUAUAUAGCUUAAUUUAAAAGAGUAUAUCAGUGAAGUUGAUAGGGAAGCUAAUGCUUGUAAAUG